rnacentral:rRNA from 1 species
UACGUAGGGACCAAGCGUUGUUCGGAUUUACUGGGCGUAAAGGGCGCGUAGGCGGCAAUUCAAGUCAUCUGUGAAAUCUCCGGGCUUAACUCGGAAUGGUCAGAUGAUACUGCUUUGCUAGAGUGCAGAAGGGGCAAUCGGAAUUCUUGGUGUAGCGGUGAAAUGCGUAGAUAUCAAGAGGAACACCUGAGGUGAAGACGGGUUGCUGGGCUGACACUGACGCUGAGGCGCGAAAGCUAGGGGAGCAAACAGG